CACACGUCACACGUCUAUCAUUGGGAGGAACGGAAUUGAUGACGUGAUGACAGCUUCCGGCGGCCGCCCGGCCAACACGCUAGCACGGUGUCUUCUUUAUCUAUAAAGAAGACAGAAGCAGACUAGGUUUGCUAGAAGAUGUACUGACCGCAAUCUGGAAUGUGCACGGCACUACUGUCACUGACUGGUGUGGAUAAUACAAAGGAACAUAGGACAGCGGAGUGCAGAGAGCACCCAGUAAUAGUGCGGGUUCUGAGAGUCUCUGCUGUGAUUGAUGGCUGCAGAACAGGAUACUGAGAUCCACCUUGCAGGAAGCACAACCAUAUGCCAGUACUGGAGCCCAGCAUUUCUCUCUAAGGCCCUGGUCAUAAUACUUAGUGCAAGACCACAAACAAGUGCGGUAUAG